GCCGGGAUGGCGGAAUUUGGCAGACGCACCAGCUUGAGGGGCUGGCGGGGGCAACCUCGUGGGAGUUCAAAUCUCCCUCCCGGCA
rnacentral:tRNA from 2 species